CCUACGGGAGGCAGCAGUGAGGAAUAUUGGUCAAUGGACGAGAGUCUGAACCAGCCAAGUAGCGUGAAGGAUGACUGCCCUAUGGGUUGUAAACUUCUUUUAUAUGGGAAUAAAAUGUUCCACGUGUGGGUUUUUGUAUGUACCAUAUGAAUAAGGAUCGGCUAACUCCGUGCCAGCAGCCGCGGUAAUACGGAGGAUCCGAGCGUUAUCCGGAUUUAUUGGGUUUAAAGGGAGCGUAGGUGGUUUGUUAAGUCAGUUGUGAAAGUUUGCGGCUCAACCGUAAAAUUGCAGUUGAAACUGGCAGUCUUGAGUACAGUAGAGGUGGGCGGAAUGCGUGGUGUAGCGGUGAAAUGCUUAGAUAUCACGAAGAACUCCGAUUGCGAAGGCAGCUCACUGGACUGCAACUGACACUGAGGCUCGAAAGUGUGGGUAUCAAACAGGAUUAGAUACCCCGGUAGUC
rnacentral:rRNA from 1 species